GAUGAACGCUGGCGGCGUGGAUGAGGCAUGCAAGUCGAAUGGGUUUAGACCCAUGGCAGACGGGGUAGGAACAAGUAGGUACGUACCGUAGAGUCACGGAUACUCUGGCGAAAGUCAGCAUAAUACGUGAUGGUCCCUUCGGGGUAAAGAUUUAUCGCUCUAUGAACGGCCUGCUUUCUAUCAGCUUGUUGGUAAGGUAACGGCUUACCAAGGCUACGACGGAUAGGGGAGGUGAGAGCCUGACCCCCACCAUUGGAACUGAGACACUGUCCAAACUCCUACGGGAGGCUGCAGUCGAGAAUCUUCCGCAAUGCACGAAAGUGUGACGGAGCGACGCCGCGUGGUGGAUGAAGUACUUCGGUACGUAAACACCUUUUACGAGUGAAGAAAUAUAUUGACAUUAACUCGUGAAUAAGGGGCUCCCAACUCUG
rnacentral:rRNA from 1 species